rnacentral:rRNA from 1 species
UACGAAGGGGGCUAGCGUUGCUCGGAAUUACUGGGCGUAAAGCGCACGUAGGCGGAUUGUUAAGUCGGGGGUGAAAUCCUGGAGCUCAACUCCAGAACUGCCUUCGAUACUGGCGAUCUCGAGUUCGGGAGAGGUGAGUGGAACUGCGAGUGUAGAGGUGAAAUUCGUAGAUAUUCGCAAGAACACCAGUGGCGAAGGCGGCUCACUGGCCCGAUACUGACGCUGAGGUGCGAAAGCUAGGGGAGCGAAUGGG